rnacentral:rRNA from 1 species
UGCUACAAUGGACGGUACAACGAGAAGCGAACCUGCGAAGGCAAGCGGAUCUCUUAAAGCCGUUCCCAGUUCGGACUGUAGGCUGCAACUCGCCUACACGAAGCUGGAAUCGCUAGUAAUCGCGGAUCAGCACGCCGCGGUGAAUACGUUCCCGGGCCUUGUACACACCGCCCGUCACACCAUGGAAGUUGGGGGCGCCCGAAGUUGCCUAAGAAAUAAGGUACCUAAGGCGAAACCAAUGACUGGGGUGAAGUCGUAACAAGGUAUC